UUUCCAAAUAUGACUUCGAAUUUUGAAGAAAAUUAUAUCAAUGUGAUCAUAUUUAAAAACGUAAAAUUACUUGAAAACUUUGGGAAAAACAAUAAUAGAGGAGAAUUCAUAGAUAAUGGUGUUUCAACAAUGAUUUUAUCUCCAUACUAUUAUUCAAGAUUUAAUAAAGUUUUUAUGACUCAAUUUUCUCAAAGUAAAUCCAUAUUGAAUAUUAAUUUCCCUAUGUAAGUGA